rnacentral:tRNA from 1 species
ACAUUGGUGGUUCAGUAAUAGAAUUCUCCCCCCUUCCAUGCAGGAGACCCAGGUUCAAUUCUCGGCCAAUGUA